rnacentral:rRNA from 1 species
CACGGGGGUUGCGAGCGUUGUCCGGAAUUACUAGGCGUAAAGGGCAGGCAGGCGGAUCCAUAAGUUUAUCGUUUAAGGCGUCGGCUUAACCGGCGUAGGGCGGUAGAUACUGUGGAUCUGGAAUGCGGUUGGGGAAGACAGAAUUCCUGGUGUAGCGGUGGAAUGCACAGAGAUCAGGAGGAAUACCGAAGGCGAAGGCAGUCUUCCAAGCCGUUAUUGACGCUCAACUGCGAAGGUGUGGGUAUCAAACAGGAUUAGAUACCCGCGUAGUCCCUGAG